rnacentral:rRNA from 1 species
GUAGGUGGCAAGCGUUGUCCGGAAUUAUUGGGCGUGAAGCGCGCGCAGGCGGUUCUUUAAGUCUGAUGUGAAAGCCCACGGCUCAACCGUGGAGGGUCAUUGGAAACUGGAGAACUUGAGUACAGAAGAGGAUAGCGGAAUUCCACGUGUAGCGGUGAAAUGCGUAGAGAUGUGGAGGAACACCAGUGGCGAAGGCGGCUUUCUGGUCUGUAACUGACGCUGAGGCGCGAAAGCGUGGGGGGGAGCAAACAGGAUUAGAUACCCUGGUAGUCCACGCCGUAAACGAUGAGUGCUAAGUGUUAGGGGGUUUCCGCCCCCCCCUUAGUGCUGCAGCUAACGCAUUAAGCACUCCGCCUGGGAGUACGGCCGCAAGGCUG